rnacentral:rRNA from 1 species
GACGAACCGUGCGAACGUUGUUCGGAUUCACUGGGCUUAAAGGGCGCGUAGGCGGACCGCCAAGUCAGGGGUGAAAGCCCCCGGCCCAACCGGGGAAGUGCCUUUGAGAUUGGCGGUCUCGAGCGGGAUAGGGGCAGCUGGAACUUCCGGUGGAGCGGUGAAAUGCGUAGAUAUCAGGAGGAACACCAAUAGCGAAGGCAGCUCGCUGGGACGGUACUGACGCUGAGGCGCGAAAGCGUGGGGAGCGAACAGG